UUUGACUAUACAAAGGUAUUGUAAUAAGAUUUUAAUUGAAUGCUAAAAGAAUGGAAAUUUAAAAAAAAACUUUUUUAAAAAUAAAAAUUGAAUUUUUUUUAAUUUGUGCAAAAACAAUUAUACUUAUUAAAGACAAGAAGACCCUAAGAAUUUAAGAUUUUACAAUUAAAAAGUUUUUUUUUUAAAAUCUUGAUUGGGGCGAUCAAAAAAUAUUAAUAACUUUUUAAAAUUUAAAUUGAUCUAUUAUUAAUAAACUAAUGAAUUAAAUACUCUAGGGAUAACAGCGUAAUAAUUUUUGAUAGAUCUUAUUGACAAAAUAGUUUGCGACCUCGAUGUUGGAUUAGGAUUCUUUUUUAAUGAAGAAGUUAAAAAAAGAAGUUUGUUCAACUUUUAAAUUCCUACUUGAUCUGAGUUCAGACCGG
rnacentral:rRNA from 1 species